rnacentral:ncRNA from 15 species
GCGACCCCAGGUCAGGCGGGACUACCCGCU